AUUGAACGCUAGCGGCCGGCCUAACACAUGCAAGUCGAACGAGUGGCGGACGGGUGAGUAAUGUCUGGGAAACUGCCCGAUGGAGAGGGAUAACUACUGGAAACGGUAGCUAAUACCGCAUACCAUCGGAUGUGCCCAGAGGGGAUUAGCUAGUAGGUGGGGUAAUGGCUCACCUAGGCGACGAUCCCUAGCUGGUCUGAGAGGAUGAGCAGCAACACGGGAACGGAGACACGGUCCAGACGAGUACGGGAGGCAGCAGGGGGGAAUAUUGCACAAUGGGCGCAAGCCUGAUGCAGCCAUGCCUGGUGUAUGAAGAAGGCCGUCGGGUUGUAAAGUACUUUCAGCGGGGAGGCGUUACACGCAGAAGAAGCACCGGCUAACGCCGUGCCAGCAGCCGCGGUAAUAC
rnacentral:rRNA from 1 species